UUACAAGCUUAUAAUGCAACGAAUGAAAUCGCGUUAGACGAGAUUGAAGAAGUUAUUGACGAAGCUGACAGGUUUCUAUGGGUACGUAUGUCUUGACUGAUUCACUGACGUAGUUCUCGUUUAUUUAAGGUUCAGUUAAGUCAGUUUAGAGUUUACUGACACCAUUUAGAUUGUCUCUUCUUUCUCAUUUCUUUUGGGCGAUGUUUUCAAUUCUUCAAAGUUAUAAAUCCUCGAUCAAUUUUGGUUAUCUCUGAUUCUGUUACCUGUGGCGUAUUUGAUUUAUUGUAGAGAAUAAAUAUAUCUUCUGAUAUUGUCAGUUAUCGUUUGGUUGUCUGAACGUACAUGAUGCAGAGCAUGUUUAAAUAGAAAGGAUGCUACAGGCGUGGUAAACUUGGUUAAUGGACUACCGUUCCGAUUUAUAGACAAUUUUCUUUAUUAGAUUAAAGCCCAAAUCUUUAUUUAGGUUAUGUUAUCAUAUUUAUAAUCUUAGUGAUUGACGAUUAAGCAGGCAAAUUAAAUGACAUUAACUGAUUCUAAACAUCAACUGAUGUUUUUAUUGAUCAAGACUUAGCAAGCAUUUCAGUGAUCAUUAAUAUAUAGAUCUUAAUAAAGGAAUAACACAAA